rnacentral:ncRNA from 1 species
UUACAUGUCUCACCCACGCCUCACCAGGACUAAACAGCGUGGUAAAACAAGAGUCCUUCAUACCCACUCUGGAGGGUAGAGUGGGAAUACUAUACCCA